UGCAGUCGACGGAACGCCCUUGAAGAGUUUUCGGACAAUGGAUAGGGAGGUUUAGUGGCGGACGGGUGAGUAACGCGUGAGCAAUCUGCCUUUCAGAGGGGGACAACAGUUGGAAACGACUGCUAAUACCGCAUAACGUACCGGUGCGGCAUCGCACUGAUACCAAAGAUUAUAUCGCUGAGAGAUGAGCUCGCGUCCAAUUAGCUAGAUGGUGAGGUAACGGCUCACCAUGGCGACGAUUGGUAGCCGGACUGAGAGGUUGAACGGCCACAUUGGGACUGAGACACGGCCCAGACUCCUACGGGAGGCAGCAGUGGGGGAUAUUGCGCAAUGGGGGCAACCCUGACGCAGCAACGCCGCGUGAAGGAAGAAGGUCUUCGGAUUGUAAACUUUUGUCUUGUGGGACGAAACGAAUGACGGUACCACAGGAGGAAGCCACGGCUAACUACGUGCCAGCAGCCGCGGUAAUACGUAGGUGGCAAGCGUUGUCCGGAAUUACUGGGUGUAAAGGGUGCGUAGGCGGGGAUGCAAGUCAGAUGUGAAAUCUAUCGGCUUAACUGGUAAACUGCAUUUGAAACUGCAUUUCUUGAGUGGUGGAGAGGUAAGCGGAAUUUCCUAGUGUAGCGGUGAAACGCGUAGAUAUUAGGAGGACACCAGUGGCGAAGGCGGCUUACUGGACACUAACUGACGCUGAGG
rnacentral:rRNA from 1 species